rnacentral:lncRNA from 1 species
GUUCACUUCUCACCAUGAUUUUAUAGAUUUGUAUUCAUUAUAAUUUGAUGUAUAAAAAUUUCAUGACUUUUUUCAAAUAAACUGUUUUAGUCAGCCUUUUCACUGCUGUGACUAAAAGACCCAACCAGAACAGCUGUAGAGGAGGAAAAAUUUACGUGGGGGUCAAGUUUCAGAGGUCUCAAUCCGUAGGCAGCAGGCUCCAUUCCUAGGGGCUCAAGGUGAGGCAGAACAUCAUGUGGAAGACAGUGGUGGAGGGAAGUGGCUCUCAUGAUAAUAAGGAAGCAGAGAGAGAGACUCCACUUGCCAGAUACAAAAUAUAUACCCCUGUCGAGAGCCAUCCGUGUGUGGACCACAUCGGCAUCACAGCCUAAUGAAUAGGAGAAUCUGGUGUCUGGGAAGUUCCAGGGGACAUUUCCUCUGGCGGACUGCCCAGAGACAUUGUGAACCCUAUUCAGGCUGUGCCCCAGGUCCCACACAGCCCCUCUGAGAAGGGGGUGACCUGCCAAGAUGCCAGUCAGCCUGCUGACUGCAAGACACCAUGAAGCAAGGUUCCACCCCUGAAACCUUAUUCCUGCCUUUGAUGUACCCCCUUAAAUAAACCACCGCAGCCAGUUUCUAGUUGUUCAGCUCCAGCUUCUGUGUGGAAUUACAAGUGUUUCCAGGAAGAAGAAACAGAAUGUACAGUGUGAUGGCAGGGAGCGCACAGGUAACCAAAGGAGGUCCAGGAUGGCUGGAUCCUAAAGGAAGUCAAGGACGGCUAGCUCCUAAAUUGGACUUCUGUACAAGUCAGAUUGUACAGAAGGAAUGUUGCAGAUAUAGGCAGAUGAUUUGUACAGGGACUUAUUUUUAUGUUUGGAUCCUGAAAUUUUUCUUACUGAAAAUGGAAAAUUGCUGCAGGUUGGACUGAGGUAUGUCAUGGUCAGAGAUGGGUUAUGUGUGUUAUGUGAAUUAUGGAUUCAAAGGCCUUCUCCCUCAUGUGCUUUACAUGAGGUGAAUUCUGCUUGCUUUAUUGGGGCCCUCUGCUUCCUCUGCCUCUCCAUCCACCUCAUCCUUUUAGUGCAUACAAAGAGAACAAUUGUGGUCAAACUGAGCUGGAGAGGAGCCCUGGCUUGACCCUUUGAGGUGAUCUCACUGGGUUCUCACCUACUCUCUUUCUUCUGCUCAGAACCUUGUCAAGACCUUUUCCC